GCCCCUGGUAGCUCACUGGUAGAGUAUGAGACUCUGAAUCUCAGGGUCGUGGGUUCGAGCCCUACUUUGGGCA